UACGGGGGGGGCAAGCGUUGUUCGGAAUUACUGGGCGUAAAGGGCUUGUAGGCGGCCAACUAAGUCAUACGUGAAAUCCCUCGGCUUAACCGGGGAACUGCGUCUGAUACUGGAUGGCUUGAGAUUGGGAGAGGGAUGCGGAAUUCCAGGUGUAGCGGUGAAAUGCGUAGAUAUCUGGAGGAACACCGGUGGCGAAGGCGGCAUCCUGGACCAACACUGACGCUGAGGUGCGAAAGCGUGGGGAGCAAACAGG
rnacentral:rRNA from 1 species